rnacentral:rRNA from 1 species
AUUGAACGCUAGCGGGAUGCUUUACACAUGCAAGUCGAACGAGUGGCGGACGGGUGAGUAAUAUAUCGGAAAGUGCCCAGUAGCGGGGGAUAACUACUCGAAAGAGUGGCUAAUACCGCAUAAAAUGGGAGGGGCCGAUAUCGGAUUAGCUAGUGGGUGGGGUAAAGGCUCACCAAGGCGACGAUCCGUAGCUGGUUUGAGAGGACGACCAGCCACACUGGGACUGAGACACGGUCCAGACUCCUACGGGAGGCAGCAGUGGGGAAUUUUGCACAAUGGGCGAAACCCUGAUGCAGCCAUCCCGCGUGUAUGAGAAGGCCUUCGGGUUGUAAAGUACUUUUGGCAGAGAAGCGGUAUCUGCAGAAUAAGCACCGGCUAACUACGUGCCAGCAGCCGCGGUAAUUC